GCGCCCGUAGCUCAGCUGGAUAGAGCACCUGGCUUCGAACCAGGUGGUCGGGAGUUCGAAUCUCUCCGGGCGCG
rnacentral:tRNA from 1 species